rnacentral:rRNA from 1 species
CGUAAUUUUUCUUAGAGUUCAAAUCGAAGAAAAAGUUUGCGACCUCGAUGUUGGAUUAAAAUAAAUUUUUGGUGUAGAAGCUAAAAUAUUAGGUCUGUUCGACCUUUAAAAUUUUACAUGAUCUGAGUUUAGACCGGCGUGAGCCAGGUCGGUUUCUAUCUUUAUAGAAUAAAAAUAUUUUAGUACGAAAGGACCAAAUAUUUCUUUUUUAAAAGUUAAAAAUUUUUGGAUAUUACUAAAAUAAAAUAUUAUAAAAAAUAAUUUUAAUUGUUAU